GUUAUCUGAACCUUCGGGGAACGAUAACGGCGUCGAGCGGCGGACGGGUGAGUAAUGCCUAGGAAAUUGCCCUGAUGUGGGGGAUAACCAUUGGAAACGAUGGCUAAUACCGCAUGAUGCCUACGGGCCAAAGAGGGGGACCUUCGGGCCUCUCGCGUCAGGAUAUGCCUAGGUGGGAUUAGCUAGUUGGUGAGGUAAGGGCUCACCAAGGCGACGAUCCCUAGCUGGUCUGAGAGGAUGAUCAGCCACACUGGAACUGAGACACGGUCCAGACUCCUACGGGAGGCAGCAGUGGGGAAUAUUGCACAAUGGGCGCAAGCCUGAUGCAGCCAUGCCGCGUGUGUGAAGAAGGCCUUCGGGUUGUAAAGCACUUUCAGUCGUGAGGAAGGUAGUGUAGUUAAUAGCUGCAUUAUUUGACGUUAGCGACAGAAGAAGCACCGGCUAACUCCGUGCCAGCAGCCGCGGUAAUACGGAGGGUGCGAGCGUUAAUCGGAAUUACUGGGCGUAAAGCGCAUGCAGGUGGUUUGUUAAGUCAGAUGUGAAAGCCCGGGGCUCAACCUCGGAAUAGCAUUUGAAACUGGCAGACUAGAGUACUGUAG
rnacentral:rRNA from 1 species